UGAUUAAUGGACAGAUAUGGUGUGAAACCUGGGGGCUGUCUUCUACUAAUGGCUCAACAGAGAAAUGUUUCUAGGUUGUUUCUGCCUGAAGGUCACAAGUGGCUGCAUGGUGUCUUGUUCACAGUCUCCUGGACACAAGCUUUAUGGGGGUUUCUCCAGGUUCCCAGAAAGGUAUGAAAGCUCAUUCUAUUUGUGUGUCCAAGGAAAACCUGCUGCACGUUCCACAAGAAAACAGUGAGAGGCUCUUGGGACUUCUUAUCUUCCUGCAGCAGUUUAAUAGCCACGAGCACUGUUCUGUAUAUCGUUUUUUCUGCAAUGUCUAUAUAACUUUG
rnacentral:lncRNA from 1 species